UAUGAUGUGAUACAAAACCGACCUGAACCCGAUGUGUUAUAUCCGAACCCGACCUGUACUUGCAAAUUUACUAGAAUAGGACCUAGGAGGUGUUAUAAAAGAGAACCGAAAUCUAAAAAAUCCGAUCCAAACGCCAACGGGUACCCAAACAUCCAGGCCUAAUCGCUACCCACACAUCCCGCGGUAUCACCUCGCGAAAUGGCCUGGUCGGAUUCAUCGUAACACGGCCGCGGCCUGCCUUCACCUGCGACGUCUACCCGCGGUUCUCCCUGGAGCUCUCUGCCACGAAUCCGCGGUGAAGCUCAUCCCGUGUCUGUGGUCCGGGUCCGCUUCUUCCCAUGCUCGAGUCUCUGCCAUGUUUCCGCGGUCGCAACCAACCCGCUGUGUGAGUCCGCGGCGUCUCUCCUAUCCACCGCAGCCAAGCUCAGCCCGUGUCGUCAACCAGUCGUGCUCCACCACAAGAUCUCUGGUCCAAGUCGUCUCUCCUCUGCCAAGCUCAAACCAAGCCGUAAAUCUACUUCGUCUUUGUCCUAGUCAUCUUCGCCGUGCUCAGUCGUCAUGCUCAGCUCUGUCAUGGUCGUGCUCUCAGCUUCACUCCGUCGUCGGGGAAGUCGCAGUCUUCUCGUAGCGGAGGAACCACGAAGCAACAUUGGUGGAUUUUGGACUUUUUACACAUCUGGCCCUUUAUCUUUUCGCUAUGUAUGAUGUGACCCCAAAACUAUUAAAUUUACAGACAAGUCCUCUCGAAUCACCCCCAAACUUUAAGAUGCGCAGACCAGACCUUCUAUAAUUUCACAAUGGGUCUCUCGUCUCUUGAUGGUUUUCAAAUCGCCCAUAACCUUUAUAAAUUGUAAGAAUGACCUCACGAUUUAGCCCCAAACUUCUCAUGUGUGCACUUUACUACUUUAG
rnacentral:lncRNA from 1 species